UACGUAGGGGGCAAGCGUUGUCCGGAAUUAUUGGGCGUAAAGCGCGCGCAGGCGGUUUUUUAAGUCUGGUGUUUAAACCUAGGGCUCAGCCUUAGGUCGCAUCGGAAACUGGGAGACUGGAGUGUAGGAGAGGGAAGUGGAAUUCCACGUGUAGCGGUGAAAUGCGUAGAGAUGUGGAGGAACACCAGUGGCGAAGGCGACUUCCUGGCCUAUAACUGACGCUGAGGCGCGAAAGCGUGGGGAGCAAACAGG
rnacentral:rRNA from 1 species